rnacentral:misc_RNA from 1 species
GAUGAAGAACGUAGCGAAUUGCGAUACGUAAUGUGAAUUGCAGAUUUUCAGUGAAUCAUCGAAUCUUUGAACGCACAUUGCGCCCGCCAGUAUUCUGGCGGGCAUGCCUGUCCGAGCGUCAUUUCAACCAUCAAGCCCCGGGCUUGUGUUGGGGACCUGCGUCCGACGCAGGCCCUGAAAACCAGUGGCGGGCUCGCUGUCCACACCGAGCGUAGUAACUAACCUCGCUAUGGAGUGGCGCGGGCGCCUGCCGUAAAACCCCCAAUUUCACAAGGUUGACCUCGGAUCAGGUAGGAAUACCCGCUGAACUUAAGCAUAUCAAUAAGCGGAGGA